CUUCCCGCGGGGCCGCUGCCCGCCGGGUCCCGCACCGCAGCCCCGGGCCCCGCCGCCGCCCCAGCUGCAGGCCGCGGGACCGGGGGCUGUCACCGCACAUAGCGCUUCUCCGCAGCCCGCACGCCCUCGGGCCCGGCACCCGAGAAAAGCAGUGGGGGCUCCCAGCCCUUCCCCCGCCCCGGAGCAUCGCCCCGGAGCAUCGCCCCGUACCGGCGACAGACCCCGAGGUCCCCAGGCGAGACCCGCACCCCGCGGGUGACCCAGCGGCCCUACCCGCUCCCCGCAGCCCCCAGGCCGGGCUGCCCUUCCCCGCCGCCCCUCCUUCCCGGGCGGCGAUGCUGAAUCACCACGGGUAGCCGCUCCGCCGCCUCUCCCCGCGGCCGGCAGCCUGUUCCCCGCGGGGCAGCGGGUGAGGAGAAGCGUCGCCGGAGAGGGCGAGCUGCUCUCUCUCCGUUACCUGACAGGGCGGGGGAGCGAGAGGCCCCCGGGCGCUCCGGUCCUCCCGGGAAGGGCGGGGGCAGGCUGGGCCGGGCGGCGCCUCACGGGCGGCGCAGCGGGGCUCUCCCGGUCGGCAGCAUCCGAACCGGCGCCUGCCGAGCCGGGGACUAGCGGGAGGAGGAGCGGGAGGUUACGGCGGGGAGCCGGGAAGAAACCAUUCCCCGCGAGGGGGCACCGCCGGCGGCCGGGCAGGCGGGGCGGGGAGGACGGGCCCUCCCACACAGGGAGAAGCUGGCCUCUCUGAGGGGUUCUGCUGCUCACCCAGUACCUCCUCCAGCCUUUCUCCCCUCUCCUCCCCUGAAAUCCCAGCUGCCGUGGUUCUGCCGCUCUCCAACACCACUGAAACCUUCAGAAGCCUCUGUCUUCAUCUCUCUGUCUCACCCUGAGACAUACGGAUGAAAAAGCACUGCAUAGAUGGUAAGUGUUGGCAUUGACUGUAUUACUAAUACCUGCACGUUAAAGGAUCAUUAUAUAAAACAUUUCCCUGCCCCUUCCAACAGGUGGAAGAUAGAAGGGAAACAUCCCUCCCCUGUCCUCCAUAGGGAGAGUGCUUGUAACGGAAGGAGGACAACGUAACCUGCAUUUAUCAUUCCUAAGAAAUUAUAGGAAUAAAUUGUUUACCCAGGAGAACCA
rnacentral:lncRNA from 1 species